rnacentral:rRNA from 1 species
GCUACCACGCGAGUGGAUGCCAAUCCCCAAAACCUCUCUCAGUUCGGACUGGAGUCUGCAACCCGACUCCACGAAGCUGGAUUCGCUAGUAAUCGCGCAUCAGCCACGGCGCGGUGAAUACGUUCCCGGGCCUUGUACACACCGCCCGUCAAGCCAUGGGAGCCGGGGUACCUGAAGUGCGUAACCGCGAGGAGCGCCCUAGGGUAAAACUGGUGACUGGGGCUAAGUCGUAACAAGGUAAC